rnacentral:rRNA from 1 species
GAUGAACGCUAGCUACAGGCUUAACACAUGCAAGUCGAGGGACCGGCGCACGGGUGAGUAACACGUAUCCAACCUGCCCUUUACUCGGGGAUAGCCUUUCGAAAGAAAGAUCAAUACCCGAUAUAAUGGAUGGGGAUGCGUUCCAUUAGGUUGUUGGUGAGGUAACGGCCCACCAAGCCUUCGAUGGAUAGGGGUUCUGAGAGGAAGGGCCCCCACAUUGGAACUGAGACAAGGUCCAAACUCGUACGGGAGGCAGCAGUGAGGAAUAUAGGUCAAUGUGCGUUAGCCUGAACCAGCCAAGUAGCGUGAAGGAUGAAGGCUGAUGGGUCGUAAACUUCUUUUAUAUAAGAAUAUGUAUUAUAUGAAUAAGGAUCGGCUAACUCCGUGCCAGCAGCCGCGGUAAUUC